UUCUAUUAUUUACUUGAAGUCGUAAUUAAUUUUCGACUUAUAAAACGAGUUAUAAAAUAUGUAAUUUAUAGAGAGUUAUAACGAAGCUUCGUUAUAUGAGAACCCGAAAUUAGUAUUACAAAUACAGAAUAAGGAUUUUAUUCAUCACAUUCAUCUAGCACCUACACAUUUCCACAUCCAUCUUACUCUUAAAUAAAUUGAUGGUGUUGGAAACACUCAUCAUAUGCCAACCAUCCCACUAAACACUCAUCAUAUGCCAACCAUCCCACUAAACACUCAUCAUUCCACUAAACACUCAUUAUUCCACACACUCAUCAUUCCACUAAACACUCUUUACACCUUCUUUUGCCAGCCAUCUUCUACACCUUUAACAUCUCAACAUGCAAUUAGCUUUUAUUUAAUCAAAAUCUUAUCAUCAAUCCUCUGCCAUUUCAAUUAGACAAAAGCCAAGUUUUAAAAGCUAAGUUUCCUUCUAUUAGUUCAUCCGCUCUUUCCUUCUCUUUUCAACACACCCAACAAAGUUUAAAGUGCAGAGUAAUCAAGCAGAUUCAGAUCCAAAUUCAUUGUUAAAUUGUUGAUUCGCAGAUCAAACUUUGUGAGUUCAGAAAAUUAUCAAGGUCCGGGCAACAGAAAGUGAAGCAGAAGAAGAAACGACUCCACGCCAGCUUUAAGAACGAUUGAGGUUGAGCAGGCGAUGGAAUGGAUUGGUGUUGAGCGGAUUUCUCUUUUGAUGUUUAUGUAAUGAAACCUUGAGUAUGCAUCUCCAUAUGCAUAACUCACACGUUUUUCCGCUGCAAACACUCUGAAUUUGUUAUUGUAUUGUGGAACUUAUUACUCCUUCAUUUUGUUUAACUUUCAUUUGGGGUUUAGUCGUUAUGGCUGGCUCGUUUGUUAAUUACCCAAGUGGUUAUAUAUAUAUAUAUACCACUAGUUUGUUGUUAUAAAUGUUGGUUAUUUAGUA